UGAAUCUUUCCUUUCAUUUUAAUUAAUUUAAAUUUAAAUGGCCACAUGUGGCUAGUGGCUACCAUAUUGGACAGCACAGCUCUAGAUGCAUUUCAGUGUUAUUCCCAUGAGAUUCCCAAAUAAACUUCCUGCAUGCAAAUCUCCAUCUCAGCAUCUGUUUCCCUGAGGAGGAACCAACCUAAAAUGAAUUGCAAAUUAAAAUCUCAG
rnacentral:lncRNA from 10 species